rnacentral:rRNA from 1 species
UACGUAGGGUGCAAGCGUUGUCCGGAUUUAUUGGGCGUAAAGAGCGUGUAGGCGGUUCGGUAGGUCCGUUGUGAAAACUCGAGGCUCAACCUCGAGACGCCGAUGGAAACCAUCGAACUAGAGUCCGGAAGAGGAGAGUGGAAUUCCUGGUGUAGCGGUGAAAUGCGCAGAUAUCAGGAAGAACACCCGUGGCUAAGGCGGCUCUCUAGUACGGUACUGACGCUGAGACGCGAAAGCGUGGGGAGCGAACAGG